CUACGUAGGGGGCGAGCGUUGUCCGGAAUGAUUGGGCGUAAAGGGCGCGUAGGCGGCCCGGUAAGUCUGGAGUGAAAGUCCUGUUUUUAAGAUGGGAAUUGCUUUGGAUACUGUCGGGCUUGAGUGCAGGAGAGGCAAGUGGAAUUCCCAGUGUAGCGGUGAAAUGCGUAGAGAUUGGGAGGAACACCAGUGGCGAAGGCGACUUACUGGACUGUAACUGACGCUGAGGCGCGAAAGUGUGGGGAGCAAACAGGAUUAGAUACCCUGGUAGUCCACACUGUAAACGAUGAAUGCUAGGUGUAGGGGGUAUCGACCCCUUCUGUGCCGCAGUCAACACAAUAAGCAUUCCGCCUGGGGAGUACGGCCGCAAGGUUGAAACUCAAAUGAAUUGGCGGGG
rnacentral:rRNA from 1 species